GACGAACGCUGGCGGCGUGCUUAACACAUGCAAGUCGAACGGAAAGGCCCUGCUUUUGUGGGGUGCUCGAGUGGCGAACGGGUGAGUAACACGUGAGUAACCUGCCCUUGACUUUGGGAUAACUUCAGGAAACUGGGGCUAAUACCGGAUAGGAGCUCCUGCUGCAUGGUGGGGGUUGGAAAGUUUCGGCGGUUGGGGUUGGACUCGCGGCUUAUCAGCUUGUUGGUGGGGUAGUGGCUUACCAAGGCUUGGACGGGUGGCCGGCCUGUGAGGGUGACCGGCCACAUUGGGACGGAGUUACGCCCCGCCCUCCUACGGGCGGGAGCAGGGGGGAGGGUUGCACAAUGGGCGGACGCCUGCUGCAGCAACGCCGGGUGCGGGAGGACGGCCUUCGGGUUGUAAACAGAUUUCGCUUGUGAGGAAGGGUAAGUGCAGGUACUGGGUAAAGAGCCCCCGCUUACCUCGUU
rnacentral:rRNA from 1 species